UGCAAGUCGAGCGAUGAAACUACUUCGGUAGUGAAUUAGCGGCGAACGGGUGAGGAACACGUGACGGAAUCUGGCCUUCUACACUGGGGAUAACUCCGGGAAACCGGGGCUAAUACCGGAUAUGAAACUUGGUGGCGAUCACCGAGUUUGGAAAGUUUUUCGGUAGAAGAUGACCCUCGCGGCCUAUCAGCUUGUUGGGUGAGGUAAUGGCUCACCAAGGCGACGACGGGUAGCCGGCCUGAGAGGGCGACCGGCCACACUGGGACUGAGACACGACCCAGACUCC
rnacentral:rRNA from 1 species